AGUAAAGUCAGCUAAUCAAGCUAUCGGGCCCAUACCCCGAAAAUGUUGGUUUAACUCCUUCCUAUACUA
rnacentral:tRNA from 1 species